rnacentral:rRNA from 1 species
UACGGGGGGGGCAAGCGUUGUUCGGAAUUACUGGGCGUAAAGGGCUCGUAGGUGGCCAACUAAGUCAGACGUGAAAUCCCUCAGCUUAACUGGGGAACUGCGUCCGAUACUGGAUGGCUUGAGUUUGGGAGAGGGAUGCGGAAUUCCAGGUGUAGCGGUGAAAUGCGUAGAUAUCUGGAGGAACACCGGUGGCGAAGGCGGCAUCCUGGACCAACACUGACACUGAGGAGCGAAAGCGUGGGUAGCGAACAGG